rnacentral:rRNA from 1 species
UUCCGUAGGUGAACCUGCGGAAGGAUCAUUCACACACACAUCUAACCUCACAUAUUGCACUUUCGCUUGUGGCGCGAGGGGCAAGGUCGCAAGACCAUGCCCCCCGGCGCCAAGCGUGGCUUUUGCAAGCCUGUUCGAAAUUCUUUUUUUUUUUGAUAGCCAUUUUCAAUGGCUUUCUUUACAACCUUCAGCGACGGAUGUCUCGGCUCCAAAAACGAUGAAGGGCGCAGCGAAGUGUGAUAAGCAUUGUGAAAUGCAGAACUCCGUGAAUCAACAGAAUUUUGAACGCAUUUUGCGCUGCCGGGACAUCCCUGGCAGCAUGCCUGCUUCAGUGUCUACUUGUUUGUUCCAAUGGUUUCCCAGACUCAAACUCUGCGAAAUCUGUUGUGAGUGAACUUGCUUGUCAUUUGGCUGCAAGCCAGCCAACUGUCAAGCAUGCUUGCUUAAGUCGAUGGACGCAACUAAACUUAUCUGCUUUCGCAACGCGGAACGUUAGUUUGUUGUGCUGCAUGGGCUUACGACCUUCGCGUGCAGCGAAGCUUAUAAUCAGACAUGAAGUUAGGUCAGCAAACCUGCUGAAUUUAAGCAUAUCAA